AACGAACGCUGGCGGCAGGCUUAACACAUGCAAGUCGAGCGCCCCGCAAGGGGAGCGGCAGACGGGUGAGUAACGCGUGGGAAUCUACCCAUCUCUACGGAAUAACGCAUGGAAACGUGUGCUAAUACCGUAUACGUCCUUCGGGAGAAAGCUUUAUCGGGGAUGGAUGAGCCCGCGUUGGAUUCGCUAGUUGGUGGGGUAAAGGCCUACCAAGGCGACGAUCCAUAGCUGGUCUGAGAGGAUGAUCAGCCACACUGGGACUGAGACACGGCCCAGACUCCUACGGGAGGCAGCAGUGGGGAAUAUUGGACAAGGGGCGCAAGCCUGAUCCAGCCAUGCCGCGUGAGUGAUGAAGGCCCUAGGGUUGUAAAGCUCUUUCACCGGGGAAGAUAAUGACGGUAACCGGGGAAGAAGCCCCGGCUAACUGCGUGCCAGCAGCCGCCGUAACAC
rnacentral:rRNA from 1 species